rnacentral:lncRNA from 1 species
UGUACUCACUCUCAGCUGAUAUCAAAGCAGGGUGAAGUUCUUUAGAGACCAACAGAUGGUGCUUCAACCUUUCAUCCCUUUCUUCCGAAGACAAUGUACCCAUGACAUCCACGCCAAUAGCUGUCUGGUUCCUGCGGAAAAGGUCUAGGUGAUCUCCUAUCAGGUCCACCACAUCCCUAGAAAAUUAGAUAACUUGGUUCAACUGCCGGUCGUACCCAUCACAUCCACGCCAAUAGCUGUCUGGUUCCUGCGGAAAAGGUCUAGGUGAUCUCCUAUCAGGUCCACCACAUCCCUAAAGAAUUAGAUAACUUGGUUCAAUUGCCGGUGACUCAAAAUCAGUACAGCAGUCACGAAUUUGAGAAACAACAGAUAGAAUAAAGCAAGAAUUAUGUUUAAGAAUGGAUGGAAGCAACAAAUCAAGGAAAUGCCCCACCCUGCCCGUAGAGGAGUGGAAGAGAGUGGGUAUUAAGUGGGAAAAUGGGAACAAAUGAGGGACUGUAUUCUUUCAUGACUAAGUUAUUGCCAAUGUAAAACCUAGUUCACAAAUAGGAUAACAAGUGAAUAGUGAGAAUAGUUAGCGCAAAAGCAUCUCUUAAACCACUUCAUAUUUUCUUUUGUAAAUUCUUUGGCUAUGUAAGAUGACUUUUUUCUUUUAAUUCAAUUCUCUCAAGCGUUACAACAGCAAUUAAAAUCACAGAAAAAGUUCCCCAUUCCCAAAGCUAAUAACCUUAAGGAGACGGGAUGGGCCGGUCAUGGGGAUAGGUGUUCCCUGCCCCAUUGCCAUCUCUAUUUGAGCCAGAGAAAUGACAGGGAAAUAUACCUUGUCAACAGUUCUACAAGGUUAAUUCCUUUCACUCUUCCAGAUAUUUCACCAAGGACAUCCAUGAUUAUUUCAUGUAUCAGCUCUGGUGCCUCACUGUCAGGUGUAAUAUCCGAGUACCACAAAUCAAUCACAAAAUCAUGCAAAACCUUGUCAAUGAACUCCUCUGCUGCUGCCUCUACAAGUGGAGAACCAAUUUUCCUCUUCCAUUUCAGUGUGGGUGGUGAGGUAGAAAGUCGACUAUCAUUCACAGAUAGCUGCUUCUUUUCUAAGUGUGCCAAGUAUGUUGGUGGCCGCACAUUCCGAUCUUUCCAACGGAAGUCCACUUCAUUAAACAAUAUCCGGAAUCCAAAAACUAACAGUACAGCUAUAGGUAGAUUCAUCCACAUCGAUGUACUUGUGUCUGCGAUCAAGAGUUGAAUCCAAAAACAAUCAUAAUGCAACAAUAACGAGCAAAUUGAUGGUUGUGGCAAACAAUUUACCAGAAACAUUGCACGGAAACUCAGAAUUAAGUAUGAUAAUUCGGUAAAGAGACUCAAAGAAAGAUUGGUUCUUGCCAUACAAAGGGUGGUACUGGUAACAAACUUGCAAAUUCAUCCACCUUAUAUCCCUUUUCUUAAUCCCCUUUUUCAUGAAAAAUUUGAUGAAAGCUAACAAAUCUAUGACCCAUCUGGCCAUCUCCAAUUAUGCAGCUAAUAUUGGGUUCACAUUUUAUGACAACCUCUAUGUUCUAAAUCUUAUGAUUUGAUACUAGAAUGAGACUUUUAACCAUGGUCACAACAAACAUCUUUAUAGUCUAGCUUUUUUUGUGCUUUCAGAGUCAUCUGCUAGCCAAGCAACAGUCUUCCGUGAAUAACUAUGUUUGUUAGCCCUUUUUUUAUCAGGUAAGGAUUGUUAGCCCUUUUUUAUAAGUAACUUCAUGAAUAACUCUCUUUUGGCCCAGGAAGUAAGAUCAAAUAUAUAUGUAAACCAGACACGAAAUACACUAGACUUCAAGUGACUAUAAGGGUGCCUUAGUGCGAGGCGGGCUGUUCACAAGAAGCCAAUACAAGUUCUCCCUUCUAACAUCUCACUAAAGGUAACUCACUCAGUAGCAGGUAGAAAAAAUAACUUUUUUUAAAGUUCCACAUGUAAUUCCUUUGUUGAAAAAAUAAAAACAAAUGUUUCUUAAUAGUUGAUAGAAUGUUAGACAUAAGUGGAUAUUAGUUAGAUUGACAUUGUCAUGAGUAGUAGUGUCCAUACUACUACUAUAGAGGCAUACUUGUACAUAUUUCUUAUAUAAUACAAAGGACAGUUUGAGCUAAAUAUUUGCAUCAUGCAUUUUGACUUAGGGGACUCAACACAGGGGUUGAGUCCGUCUAGGACAGGUGCCCUGAAUUAAAAGACCACCCUGAUGCAUUUUUACGUACUACUUGCAAAUUUAUUUGCCUUGGAUUUGCAUGUUGAUCGGUCUGUAAACAAAGGGAAUAAUUGAAAAAAAAGCAGUUCUAGGGUAGUCUCUUUUAAAAACCAAUGCUCAAAUAGCGCCGAAAUGUUGCCGGUUUUUUCCAAAAAGGCAAAAAAAAAAAAAAAAAAAAAAAAAAAAAAAAACAAAUUUGAAGUAGCUGAAGUGGUCAAUGGACCACACACCAAAAGACUCAACAUAUCAUAUCAAAACAAAUAGGACAAAGAAUCAAUACUUUGAGAGUUUUUCUUUUGAAUUCAAUCUCGCACAGAAUUGAGUUCAUUUUAAAACAUUUUUACUAUAGUGGCAUAACCAGCCCAAUGUAAAGCUCCAACAAACUUAGUAAGCAAUGUCUUAAUCUUCAGUCAUAAAACACUACUCGAGAACACCACAAAAGAACAUAAUAAAAGAGAGUUUAAGUUAUAUACACCGUCAUUGUAAGCAAUUGUUUACACUAUCACGUCAUCCAAAUGGUAUCUACAAGUCUCAUUAAAAUGCGGAAUUUGUAAUCUUGAAAAAUAAGACAAGUUACCUCUACAAGACCUGAGGGAGUAAAAAUUGCUUACAUGUAUACAACUUAAACUCAAUUAAGAAAGAGUCUUUUCAGGGCCAUUGAUCAAAGGAACGCCAAAAAAUACGUACGAAAUUACUGUGAUCAAAACAGUGAAAGUAAUCGCAUAGUUACACAGGCAACAAAUUAUCAUAAAUUAGAUGAGCAAAAAUUGAAAAAUAACGGAGUACACAGAAAGACCCUAAUGGGCAGUGUAUUUCCUACUAAGAAGAUACAUCAUGUGAAGAGAAAAGAGAACAUUGAAAUGAACUUACGUGUUAAAAAGUAACAGACACCAAAUAUACACAAACCCCACCAAACCGUUCGAAUUUUUACUUCUUCAAUCAGAUCUUGCAAGGUCUCCAUGGCCUUCAUUAUGUCUCAAACCCUAGAAUUCUUCCAAGAAUUUGAAACACCAAUAAAAUCCCUAAAGAUUGGAAAGAAAAAAGAAAUUGGAAUCUACCGCAUCAAAAUCUAUUCAUUUAAUAAGGACACAAGAAUCUGAUCCUAGUCAAGUUUUCCCCAGUUGAAAAGCUAUGAGACCAAGAAGGAGGAGAAGAUUCUGGGAUCCUAUGGUUUUCGGUCCUGUAGUUGGUUGGGUCCUCUUCUCUGUCUGCUGCGGUGGAAGAGAGAGAAAAAAACGUGGGAAAAGGAGAGGUGAAAUCGUCGUUACCAGUUGGAGAAACACGUUAGCCCACCUUUCUUUUGAGCUUGGCCAACCUAUUGGUGUUCGAUUCCUAAUUCUACCACUGUCCGCAAUAUUAGUUUGAUGACAUUCGCCUUCAUUUAUUAUAGUCGUAUCGUAAUUUGACAUUGUCUAACUUAUGCAAAGUAAUAUUAUAAAUCUAUAAAACUUCCACGUGAGUAUUAUAUUUUUAUUUUAUAACUUUUAAGAGGUCCUAACAACUCAAACAUACACAUCACAUUGGGUAGUAUUAUAUUGAUGAUGCUACCUACUAUUACAGCUCAACAAAGUAGAACAACAUUAGGGAAAUACAAAAUGAAGAAGCUAAGAUAGGAGAGAACCCAGAAGGGAUGAGAAGCUAGAGUCGGGAUGGAAAAUGUGAGAGUUUAGAUAUUUUUCUCAAUCAUACCCCAAAUCCACUUCACCAGUUACUGUUGACAGAUACACACGACUCAUAACUUCUCCAAUAGAGGCCCAACUCAACGGGUGACGCGCUGGUUUUCUUAGCAUUGUAACACUAUUAUUGUAAUAUGAUAGCUAAUUUUCCAUUACAUUUUUAUGGCCAUUAUAUGUAAUUAUAAAUAUUGAGAACUAUUCUAGAAAGAGGCUAGAUGUUCAUGUUGGUAAUGAGGACGAUGAGGUAUUUUAUUUCAUCUCUCUCACCUCUCAACAGAUUUGGGCAUUUCCACCAUGGAAAUCCUUUGCUAGCUUUUGCAAAUUUUCACCAUUAAUAUGGUAUCGGAGUAGGAUAGCAAUUCUUCUCAUUUUCUAUCUUCAUCUGAUCGUACCUGUCAAGCUAGUUUCUUACAAUUUUGGGUUUUCUUAAGAACCCUAGUUUCAAUUUUGGGUGUUUCCUUCAGGAGGCAAGAUCUAGUCUUACCUGUGAAUUUUGGUGGUUUCACGAUGAUUACUAGUGGUGUUAUUCGCUUUCAACUGGUAGUGAACCUUCACCUUCGUAUUUUGAUCCAAUUUGAAGGCCUUGACUUUUUCGGGUAGUGAAAAAGGACGGUAGUUUCUUCCCUAAUUUCUACUGGCAUGCUUCAAUUUUGUGGUAAAUUUCAUUGUGGUUAAAAAAGGAUUCAAAUCAACUCCUUAUAUAGAAUGCAGAUCAACACAUUCAAUGAAGCAGCCAGUACGGCAGACAAUCUACUUUCUUAUUCUAGGACUAGAAGAUCCUCUAUCUAUUAGCAUACCCGUACUGGCAUGAAGAUGGAUGGAGAGGCACUUGAGCCUGGAACUGAUAAAAUUCGGGGAAAACAUGGAAGCGAUCACUAUAUUGGGCGGGGAUACUUAACGCGUUAACUAUAACAUUGCAUAGCUCGAUACACAUAGUGCCUAGUAUCCAUCGUUUACGGCUAGGACUACUGGGGUAUCUGAUCUCAUUUGCUCCCCUAGAUUUCGUCUCUCAGUGUCAAAGUCGGCCCAACAGAGUGCUUUCGCUAUUGGUUUUCUAGUUUGAUCAGGGAAACCACAGAAAAUGAAUCUGCUAAUGAAGGUUACAUAUUUGUAUUUGGUUAUACCAUGGGUGAUGAAUGUUUGAAUUCCUCUAUGAAUCUGAUGGUUUUACUAUAUUCACUUUAGAUCCUUCACAUCCUCUCUAUGUUCAUCUUUCAGACAGCCCCAGCACUCACCUAGUAUCUCAUCAUUUCGAUGGAACUCGAUUUUUUGUAUGGCCUAAAUAUAUGCUAGGUUUCCUUUAUGCCAAAAACAAACUAGCAUUAGUUUAUGGUCGUCAGUCCAACCCUUCUGAUAGUUCACCUUAUUAUCCCUACUAGGAAAAAGUGCAAUGAUAUGGUGGUCACUUGGAUCACUUAUCACCAUCUAAGGACAUUGCUACAAAUGUUCUAGGUUAUGACACUGCUAAGAAAAUUCGGUUGGACAUAAAUGAGAGGUUUGGUUAGUCUAAUGGUUCCAAGGUCAUUCAAAUCCAAAGGGAAAUUGGGACUAUCUUCUUACUUCACCAAAUUCCAUAGCCUUUAGGAUGAGCUUCAAACUGUGUAUGUAGGUCCUAUAUGUUCGUGUGGUGCUCUACCUAAAUUCCUCGAUGAAACGAGGUUAUUCUGGUUGUUAUAUGGUUUGGAUAAGUCCUACAACACUGUGAAGAGCAACACUCUUAUGAUUUCCCCAAUUCCAUCAGUUAGUAAAGCUUAUUCCAUGUUACAACAUGACAAGAGACAAAGGAAAACCUCUCCAGCUCCAGGAUUUUCUACUUAUUUUGUAUCCUUCUAUGCCUCUUCUGUUCCUUCAACCUAUCCAAUGUUUUCUUACGGGCAAAGAUCUUUUAAAGAAGAUACACUUCGAGGCAAAGAAACCUGGACAAUAUGUGACAUGCAAAUAUUGUAAAUAACCAUGUCACACCAUUGAAAAAUGUUAUAAACUACACGACUUUCCUGUUUAUUUCAAGUCCACCAAGAAUAGGAGAUCAACUUUCCAAGAAUCCAGCUUUCCAUGAACGGAUCAAGCAUAUCGAGCAAAUAUGACUACUCACUUUUCAUCAAGUCCACCCCUUUUUCUCUUACUAUUUUAGCAGUUUAUGUUGAUGAUUUUUUUGGCUGGGGAUGAUAUUGUUGAAAUAGACAGUGGCGCUGGGGAUGGGAUCUCUUAGAAGAAUUUCAUUGCCAAAAUGUUUCCCUUGUUGUGACUCUACUUGAUACCUCUGUCAAACUAUCUGUUGAUAUGGGUCCUACCUUGACUGAUUCUAGCUCAUGUAGAAGUAUUGUUGACAAGCUCAACUUUCUCCAACAUAAAAGACAUGAUAUCUCUUUCUCAGUCCAACACCUAAGCCAAUUCCUUCAAGCUCCUCAAGUCCCUUAUAUCCCCGUUUGGGGAUUCUUCUGUCUUCCUCUUUUUAACUUUUUCCCCAAAGCCUUUUCUGAUUCUGACUGUGCUUCUUGUGCUGGGUCCAGAAGGUUUGUUUCUUGCUUCUAUAUUACUCGUCAUGAUUCCCUUAUUUUUUAGAAGAGCAAGAAACAACUCAUUGUUUCUUUGUCUUCUGCUGAGGCUGAAUACAUGGCCCUUCGAAAGGUAGUUGCAGAAAUGUCUUGGUAGGUUAGGGUGCUUGGUGAUCUUGGACUCUCUAUUUUUGGUCUUGUUCCUAUAUUUUGAGACAACGUAGAUGAUUUACAUAUUGCCUAGAAUCCAGCUUUCCAUGAAUGGAUCAAGCAUAACGAGAUUGAUUGUCUCUAUGUGCAUGAGAGCCUCAAUUCUGGCUUGAUUUCUCUGCAUUUGUGCCCAACUCUACCCAGCUUUCUGACAUUAUGACCAAGUCUGUUUCUGAGCCUCUUCGUCAUUCUCUACUUGGCAAUCUUGGUGUGUUAUUAACCCCAAGCUUGAGAGGGGAAGGGAUAUACACACAUCCCAUGAUUUCUUCAAUACAAGCCCAACCCAACGGGUGACCCGCUGCUCUUCUUGGCAUUGUAACACUAUCAUUGUAACUACAUUUUUGCUUAAGUAGGAUAGCCAGUUUUUCAUUACGUUUUUAUAGCCACGGUAUAUAACUAUAAAUAUUAAGGACUAUUCUAGAAAGAGGCUAGAUAUUCAUUUUGGUAAUGACGAUCAAAUAUUUCCUUUCGUCUCUCUCUCCUCUCAAUAGAUUAGGGAAUUUCCACCAUGGAAAUCCCUAGCUAGUUUCCGUAAAUUUUCACCAUUAAUAGUUGUCAACUUGGCUUAUAUUCCAAAUAAAAAUCUUUAAUAUUUUUCUAGGCCCAGUAAUCCCAACUGGAUCACACUCAUUCACUACUUUUAGCCCAUAGGUCCUUACAAAGUCGGACUGAUUCACAAUAACAUUCGCCCUGAAAAAGAAUGUCAUCAUCAAGGUUCUAGUGUGUCAAUACUAAUAGAGGUAUAUUGGUGAACCCUAUAUGUGAUUCCCUUUCCUUUAAAUUGAACGGAAUAUUCAGAUUUUCGCCAGGAUCAAGAGAAAAGCUAGAUGAACCUGCAUUAAUCCUCAUCACAUUUUUGUCCUAUAGGUUUGAAGAUCUAUCCUCAGUUAUAGUCCAUUGGAGUAACUGGUUGAGUAAACUAGUGGACUCAUUUUUGCCCUAAGAUGCCAAAUGUAUUUACAGCAAAAUGCUUAGCUUUCACAUCAAGCUGACUCAUGCUUUUAGUUGCCUUGAAUAUGAUAUUACCGUGUAUCAUGAAUCGAAUAGUCAAGAGCUUUACUGAAAUCGAGUACCGAAACUGAUUUGUGCUUGAAGUGUACCACCAAAUUUUCUUGUUUAUCAUAUGAAUAUUCAACAUUAUAGGAGUAAUGAAAAGAUGGAGACCCAAUAACUUCCCGUGUCAAAUCAAAUUGCAAAACAAAAAAAUGCAAAUACCAUUAUUAUCUGAAAUCCCACACAUUAGUCAUAUAAUUAGAAUACGUAAUGAAGUAAAGCUUGCGUGUAUUUCCAAAUAAUAGUAUUGUCUAAACGAUCAUUAUAUAACUUGUUAGAGCCAUAGACUUGCAACUUAUUCCUGGAUCCUAUAGGCAUAUAUUUAUCUUAUGUUGCUAGUCUAGUAUAUAACAUUGAGUUGUUCUUGGAUUCUGAAAAACAUAAUACUAGACAACAACAACAACAACAACAACAACAACAACAACAACAACAACAACAACAACAACAACAACCCAGUAUAGUCCCACAAAGUGGAAAAAAAACAUAAUAAUAGACGAGCCAGGGAAAAAGAGGUCUUCUUCGCAUCUAGGCAUAUUUUUUGCAGUUCCACUAUAACAACGACUCAUCCCGUCAAAAAGAGUGUGAUCUUCACUUAACUUACACAAAGCACUGUAAUCCAAGUUUGCCAAGUCUAAAAGAGGCCAAAGCAUUUUAAUUAGAUACAUAAGUAGCAUCUUCAAUGAGUGACCUAAUUAUAUAAAGCCAUAAGCAAAUUUUAUUAUUGAUGCCAAAUAACCAAAAUCUAAUUCAGUUAUAUACCAACAUUAGCCGUAGUAUUUUCCUAACUAUUUUAUCUUUAAUAUUCUCUCGCGAUGACAUAGCCAGUAGACCAAAUGCCAAUAGCAGUAUUAUUCUCUGUUGCCGCAAAUGUAAGCUCUCACACUCUAAAACAUCGAGAUUAGAUAUAAGAAAUAUAUGGUUCUUUUUUACCCAGAGUUGUAGCAUGUCCCCAGUUGCAUAAAUUAACCGAAGGAGCAAGAAAAUUCACCAAAAGAAUGUGAUGCUUAAAGUAUUGGUGAUAUAUGCUGGUAAUGUGAUGAAUGUAGGACAAUAACCAAAAAAUCAUGAACAUAUUGGCACCCGGAUCAAACGAGGAUUGAUUCAAAUACGCUACUCAUUGGUGGUUAAACUAAUAUGACACACAAAUAUCCUAAAAAUUUGCUUGAAAUCUAUUGAGAUUAUUGCCUAAUUAUGUAAAGUGGCUAGUCUAUUAUAAAGUGGUUACUCAGAUGUAAAUUGGCUAGGCUAGACAUUUAAUUUUUACUUAAUUAGUUAGUUGUGUAUAUAUACUCUUUAGAGAUGUUAACAGUAUUUGAGGUUUCAUUCCUAUUUUUUGUUUCUCUCUCUCUUUCUCUCUCCCUACUACGACCUCCAUGGCUGCACAAGCUAAUCUUGGACCAGCCUUCACCUUGAACAAUUAAUAUGUUAUUAGAGCAAGUCGUUCCGAUUUAUCAUCUCUCUAUCAUCCUUUUUCUUCUCUGAGUAUGUCAAUUUUAUUUUUGCCCUAAAUCAGUUUCUGAGAAGGGACUUUUUCUCACAAUGUUAGUACUGAUCAACUCCGACCAUGGGUCUAUAGAGUAGCAAGAGCGAUUGAUGCAGCUUUUAUCCGAAGGGUAGGGACCAAUUUUCACAUGGAGCUAAAAUAGGUUUGGAAUUGGGUUCAUAUCUAAUCUAACAAUGUGCGAUGUUCUUAAUUGCACUUCCAAUCAUUUUUCAUUUAUCUACUAUUCUACUUUAAUACUAAUGAUGCAGGAAAAUAAGCUAGGUAUGAUAUUUUUAUAAGAGUUUUCUUAAUUGAUAAAGAUGCGCUAGGAAAGUGACUUACACCUAGGUGAAUAUCUAAGGGGAUCUAAAACUUAGGACAUAUUUGUUAUAAAUGGGAUUAUGAUAUAGCCAUUGCACAUAACUACUCACUAUAAACAUCACGAUUGUUUGAGUAACUUUUUCCCAAUUGGCUUUCUCAAGCCCAAUUGGGUCUUCAAACAAUGCAAGUAAAAUUGGCUCAAGUCGGGUGUUACUAUCUCUAGGUUUAACCAUUUAAUUGUUGGAGAUGUUCUAAAAUUACUCAAAAAGGCUAAAAACAAUGCUCUCGAGAAAAAUGGAUAACCUAAAAAUCUAAAAAGAACUAUUUAUACACAACUAAAUUUUUUGGAUAAAAAUGCCCUUAUGAAGAUUUCGCUGAUAGUGGAAAAUGCAUUGUUGCAGCACUAUGACUACCACGGCCUCGCAGAACCAAACGUGGACCUCGGUCUUCAGUUUUUUGUUCCACUUCUGGCUCUCUAAUUCUGACUUCUGGUGAGGGUAGUAACUUGACCGCAGCCACGCAAAGAUACCACUGCCGUGCAUUUUCACCACGGGUAGUGAUAACUUGUUAAGCCCAAAACAUCACUCUCUGAACUUUUCCACCACUGAGAGCGUAAACAAGAUGCCUCAGCAGUAAACCCUCCAUGUCCGCGACAGUUUCUUUGCUGUUAGCACUCUUUUGACUCAGCUUUGACUUGUGCAUGUUUCACUCCUUUAUGAGCUGGUUUUUGACUUUCUUGUCUCUUUUUGACCAAACACUACAAAGAAUCACAAUAAGUUAGCUUUCGGGAAUACUUGUACACACUUUUAAUCGAAAACCUAAACAAAAAGGAGCAUAAAAUAGGCUAGAAUCCGUAGUUAUCAACUCCCUAAAGCUUAAGCUUUUACUUGUCCUCAAUCAAACAAAGUAAUUUCCCACCUCCUUAAGUUAAAAGAAAGGAAAAUUGAGUUGUCCUAUAGUAAACUCAUAAAGAAUCAGCUGGGACUAACAAUUACCCUCAACUCAAAUGCAUUAUUAACAAUACACAACCUUUUUAGCACCUUGGAUUUGGUGCGACACAAAAGCAUCAAGAGUUGACUCAACUCAUCAAAGAAACUCUACUACAUUGGUCAUUGUGGAACCCAAACUCAUACUCCUCAAUUCUCCAUAAGCAAACCUCACUUUUAGAUUGUAGCACUUAGAACGAGGAUUGUGGAAAACACACUCAUCUCUCUCAAAGGAAGGUCACAAGUCCGGCGCUAAGUACCAUAAGCUUGCCCCUUAUGUGAAUCACCACUAAUAUAAGAUCACUCAACUCAAGAUCAUAUAGGGAUUUUUCGGGAAUGCAAUGAAGGCUUUUUGGUUCAGGGUAGGAAAUAUUGGUCUAUGAGGGUUUCAUCUUUCCUUAAGCACUUCAUUUGCUUCAUUUUGGCUCACAUUUCUUGACUAUUUGAUUCAUUUACUUCCUCCUUAGGGAAUAGAGAGAUACACUGUCACUAUUUCUUCUUCACGUCAAUCUUUUUUCUCCUUUCUAGUCUUUCCAAGCCUUUUAUCUUUACUUUUAUUGAAUCCCUUCAUUUCUUCCAUAUUGUUCACUUUCUUUUUAACUUUAUGGCUUUUAUUUCUUUUUCUUUUUGCUUUUCCGUUUCUUCAUUUUGUACCUUUUUUAUCGCUUUAGCAUUCCUCGUCUCUCUCUCCAAACUUAUGCUUUUGCCUUGUGCUAAGGAAAAAUUGGGUGCCAGAAGCGGAACAUUUUAGAACGGAUAAAGACUUGUAUCAUGGUUAUUGAAAGAAUAAGGAUUAUGGCUCAACGAGGUUGACUAUGGAUAUCAUCAUUGGUGGGCUAUGGAUGUUUUCAAGUCUCAAUUAGGAUCAAAGAGAGCCUACAAUCACUUCUCAAGUCGAGAUAUUUAGGAUUUCGCCUAGACAAACAUUCAGGGCAAGUUCUAGACUUAUUGGCACGGGACUUGGACUUGCAAAUCAAUACCUCACCACACAAGCUAUACGAUUGUUAAAAAGAGACAGAGUCGAGGGCCCACAACAACCUUAGCUAAGAUUUGAGCAAUACAAAUGGUUCCGAGAAGCCAGUCGAUGAUUGUUUAGUCAACACAAGAGUCUUAAGGUCACAACUAUUACCAUACUAUACACACCAAUUUGUUUUUAAUCAUAAGGUCAAAGGUAAAUAUGUUAGGCCCAAGUGAAGCUUUGCCUGAGGCACUAUUUCUCACUAGCUACUAUCUACUCAAAAACGAAAAGAAAACAGACUCAAACCCUUAAGAAGGUUGUCAUGCAAUCCAUCAUCAAGAAGAGACUUCUAAUUCACACAACCUGCAUCUUUGGAAAGAAUCAUGACAUUAAGAAAAUCAAAGGCUUAUUGAUCAUAAAAAACUUGUAAAAUAAGAAGCUACGAACAGAAAAAUAAGCUACUAAAUGAAAUAAGAAGCUAUGCUACUAAGGAAAAUUGCAAAAGACGUUAUGAAAGAAAAUAUGGAAAGUAAACUAAAUAUGUACAAUAGGAAAUUUAGACAUAAGAUGGAAUGAAUAUAUACAUGAGAGAGUAACUUUAGAUAAAUACCAAGAUUGAAAAUAAUGAAAAGUGAAACAAAUAGUAAAGUUAUAUACAUAUCAAAAGUGCAAAAUAAGCAUAAAGAACAAAUAGUAUCAUCAUUACAACCCAGCUAUCAAAUCAUCAAAAGAAAAUAGGACCACCCCCUCAAAUGAGAACUAGCAUUGUCUUCAAUGCUAAAUAACCAAAAAUAAGAUCAAAAAGGGAUUAAAGAGUAGAGAAACUCCCUAUGGUUCCUCUUUUUGCAUGGGAUCCUGUGGAUGGGUGCCUGAAUCACCUGGAUCAGGGUCUUGUGGCUGGCCUGAGGCACCUCCCCUAGGGUCCUCCAGCUGAAUCUCCACAUCAUCAACAUAGGGAUCACUCUCCUCCUCCUGGGCCCUCCCUCAAUCUCCUGCUCCUGAACUUGCUCUGCCUAAGCUGCUGGCACUGGAUCCUCCAAUAAAUGCUCCAAUGGUAAGUCGCCAGCUGACUUCAUCUUCUCUACCUCUCCCCUCAAUUGCUUCGCUGACUCCUUGGAGACUCAUUUCUUCUUCAGCUUCCCUGUCUUCUUACUCAGCUCCUGAAUAUAUUUUCCUUCAAUUGCAAGAGCAUCCAUGAUAAGCUUUUGGUUAUCCAAGUGCUUCUUCUGGUUUUCCAGAAGCUCCUUAAGGGACUCCUUCACUAAAUCUGGCACCUGGGGUUGUGCGAGAACUGAUUAGACUGCCACCAAACUAGAUAGUACAGACAACUUAUAAGUUGUUGCCUACAUCUAGUUGUUGAUGCUGGAGAGGGUCUAUUCCAACCUAUGGGCAGUGACAUGGUAUGAUGACGAGGAGGCACUGAGGUAGGUGUUGAAGUAGAUAUUCCCGAGGGAGGCUGUGGUAUGGCAGUGGGAGGUUAUAAAGUAGUGACUACCAUUGCUGGCUCUUCAGGCUAGCCAAUAGAAAUAGUAGCUUUUCCUUUGGAUCUAUUGGAUUUGGGGUUUCUUGGACCCUGGAGGCUGUACCAUGAGAAUGGCUUCUUGGGCUUUACCUUGAUAUUGUAAUCCAUUUUCUCUACCUCAUGAUCUUCCAAGUACAUGGUAAGGAAUUUUGGAAAUGGGUAAGAUCUAUCACCCUCGUUGACCACUCUAGUGAUCACCCUAAACAUGAUAUUCCCGACAUUGAUCGGGAACCCUGCCAUGAUAGCCACCACUACAAUC